rnacentral:pre_miRNA from 1 species
GAUUUCAACUGAAAAAGUCAUCAACAACAAAAUUGUAUAAGUCAUCAAUAUCUAUAACUUCUAUUUUGAUCAUUUCUUCAUCCGACAAAGUGAUUUGUAACAUUGUUUACAAAAUGCACAUAUGUCUUGUAGUUUUAUAAACUAUAGAAGAGAUAUAUAAAUUUUAAGAAUAUGUUACGAUCACUUUGUCGGAUGAAGAAAUAAUUAAAAUAGAAGUUAUAGAUCUUGAUGAGUUAUACAACUUCAUUGUUGAUGACUUUUUCAGCUGAAAUC